CUGUGUUCUUCCAUAUUCCCUGUUACCAGAAGCAGUGUUUGCAGACUUCUGAAACAGUAGUGAGAACUAUUUCAACCACUACAUUUAUUUGAGUAUUUUUAAUUUUUAUUCACUUUUGACUGGAUCAGUUCCCUCAUCUGACCUACUGUAUAACUUAAGGAGUAGCAGCGUCAGCAUGUGGGUGAAGGCAAGAACUCUGAGGGUCAGGGAAGAACUUAUCCCAAUCUAUGCUUCCCCUGACUGAAAGUUGCUGUGGGACCACCAGCCAUGUGUUUCCACCCUGUUCUUCCCAAGAUGUGAGAGCAUGGCAGAGGGCAGCUCCUCUCCCAACCCUCAAAUUACUCCAGGCUGAUGUGACUGUGUGCAGCCGCAUGGCCCUAGCACAAAGGAUGCAGCAGAAAGGAUGAUGGUGGAUGAAGCAUGGUGAGCUGCUGCUUUUGAGAGAAGAUGGUUGUGUCAGAAGAAGUGGUGUGAAACCUAGCCCAUACACAGACACAGAGCAAAGCAUGGCCUUAGCACAUUCACAUCAGAUACAGCAAGCAUUUAAAAUUUUACUUUGGUGGUGAGAUAGAAGCUUACUUAUUAUUCCUGGAGGAUAUGGAUCUGUGCUGCAGCUUGCUACCAUUCUCCUCCUCCCCAUCCAUUACACUCACCCACCCACCCACACAAUGGAAUCUUUGUUUCCAUGGAAGAAUGCUCCAUGGGGAGCUGCACAUCCCAGCUCUGUUUGUGUCUCGAGUUGUGAUGGAUCACUGUGGGGAGCCUUAAAUCUCUGCAGCCCUCAGAUCGCUAUCAAACAUAGGGGCAGCUGGUGUAUGCUCCAUUUAACACAAACUACAUGCGUAGCUGGAUUCUUUACCACCUUGUCAAUGCCACCCCGAACUGCCAAGGUUUGAGAGCCCCUGAGUCUACUGAAACCAAUGGGAGUGGUCGGUGUUCUUCCUGCAGGCACAGGAGCACAUUCCCACCUCAGCCACACUUCUUCUCCAGAAAAACACUCAGUUUUCCAAGCCACUGCUUGUAUGAGGCAGCCGUGACUGAAAGGAAUGGACAGAGAAGAAGGAAGCCCUGGAAAGAAGGACAGGCAAUGAAACCAGAGCCAUGUAACAUGUAAUGGGAAUUUCCCUCACCAGAGCUUGAGCUUCAGUUUAUUUAUUUGCCCUAAUACACGAACUAAGUGCAAAAAUAGGAAAGGAAGCAAGCCCCAAGGGCUUUCUUUUUGCCAGGUUUCACAUCAGAAAAGUGAGUUGUGUCUGAGCACACUCCAAGAUGUCUCAUGCUUCUUCUGAUUAAGUCUGGAAGUUCUGGGCCAACAGAAAAUCCCAGCAUCGCUAUAAGAACAAUGUGGGGACUCCCCACUCCUGCUUCCCUGUGCAAACCUGUGCAAAUCUGACAUUUUCUUUCCAGAGCCAGAGACAUGACUGGUGUUUAAUAUGGACCUCAUUCAACCCAAAGACGGGGUCCUGAGGAUUUCAGAUCACUUUAAUCAGGCAAAGAGAGUGUUUCUGGGAUAAAAGUAUCCUUCUCACAGAAUCUAUGGGGAUCUUAAGCAAUUCCUCACUCAUUGCGCUCACAAUGUCAGAGAUCAGAAACUCACCAGAUAAAGAACAGACUGUAGCUGAAAAAAAAAUCAACAGCAGUUGCAUACUUUAUAAGUCUGAUGAGUGCAUGAUUUGACACUUGUUUGCAAAAUCCUAUAAAAUUAUUGAGAUUUUCCCCUCUGUUACAGUAAAGAGCACAUCAUAGAUUAAGACACUGAUCCACCAAAGAGUACAAGCUCCGCUGAAGGGUGGAAGCCAACAGAGCUGCCAAAUUCAUG
ensembl:lncRNA